ACGGCCCCCUAGACGUGUUGUAGAUGUGGCUACUAGGCCAUAUGUGUAGGUGGCAGAAAGAAGAUAAGCUAUGUUUAUGCUCAGUGUUCUGACAUGCGUUGAGGUUAGGCCUU
rnacentral:snoRNA from 1 species